UACAGGGGGUGCAAACGUUGCUCGGAAUCAUUGGGCGUAAAGCGCACGUAGGCGGUCUGUUAUGUCGGAUGUGAAAGCCCUCGGCUCAACUGAGGAAGUGCAUCCGAAACUGGCAGGCUAGAGUACUAAAGAGGGUCGCGGAAUUCCCGGUGUAGAGGUGAAAUUCGUAGAUAUCGGGAGGAACACCGGUGGCGAAGGCGGCGACCUGGGCCGAUACUGACGCUGAGGAGCGAAAGCGUGGGGAGCGAACAGG
rnacentral:rRNA from 1 species